CCCACUGCAAAAUCUGUUUAAGGUUUAGGAGGGUCCUAUGUUCAAAAGUUUGCUGGUGUGUAUCUUUGUUGGCUCGACAUGUUUUUAAUUUAUGAUUGUUGUUGGUGGAGAGAGCGGAAGAUGCCGGGGACAGUUUGGAGAAGAUCAAGCGGCAGCUGGCCUCUGGGUCUGGUCGGAAUUUGUUGCAGGGUCCCCUUCUAAAGCGAUCUGAAACAUUGAGGAAAUGGAAUGAGCGAUGGGUAGUUUUGGACCCAACAACAGGGAAAAUGGAGUAACCAUACGUCCCAUUUACACUGUUUUUGGUCCUUCCUUGCUUGGUUCAAUGUAGUAAUAUGUUGGUGGAAACAGCUCAUUUCUAAUGCUGCUGCCGAUGGUGAUGGGGUCAAUGGACCUCUGCCAAGAGUGUUCAUAUCACAAAUUGUUGUGGAUUAGUUGAGUAAAUAAACUCAGAUGACAUGAAUAGCGCCAAACAACUACAAAGAGAACUGCCAUACUCCUAUAAUUGCUGCUAACCUACCUAACUAAGAAUAUACGACAAUCUCGAAAAUGUGCCAAUGAGAGACAUCAUCAGAUCCAGAGAUCAAGUUUGCCAAGAACUACUCAUAGUAGAAUUUGCAAAUAUGUGGUGCAAACUGAGCCAAGAAUAGACAACUCCAACCUUUUUGGAAUAGACGUGGUUAUCAACCUUUUGACUCUCUUCUUCUUUUCUUUCCUGACUUGGAUUCACUGCCCUGAUCAUUGGAUGAAUUUAGUGACUUUCCCUUUGAGUUCUCCAUUGUUUUCCCAGAAGUUGAUGAAUGCUUCACAUCUCCACUUUCUUUUUCUUUUGCUUUUGAAGAUGUGAACUUAACCUUGGUGGAGAGAUUGGUAUUAUUAGACUUAUCGCCUGUUUUGGUAGACUUGCCUUUUGAAACGGGAGUUUUUGGGGUUUCUUGUUUGGACUUCCCCGUCUUCGAUACAUCUUGCUUGUUGGACUUUGCAACAGCGGCAGGUGUGGAUGUCUCAUCGUCCUUAGAUUUGCUAGUCUUGUUGGAUUCGGCAUCAUCAUUCUUCGACUUGCCAGCGAUUUUUGGACCUGUGCUACCACGUUUACUUCCAAUUUCAAGAGUGCCUUGAUCCUUUGAUUUACUUCCAAUUUUUGGAGGCUGGUUUCAGCACAGGUGUGGUUUCCUUUUUAUCAUCAUCACCUGACAAUCUUUUCACGUUUUUUCCAGAAAUAGAUUUAGCUGAUCCCUUCUUUCUCUUGACCUCUGAUUGUUUUAAAGAACUCCCCCCACUCUUGCUGGUUCCAUCACCCUUCCUAACAGACUGCUUCAAUGUCUUAGUUUCAAAAUCACUUGUAGUGUCAUUAGUUUACAUUUACAUUUACGUUGAAGAUAUAAUAUUACAUUUACGUCAUUAGUUUUUGGAUGAAUUGGUGAUUUAACAUGCUCUAGAGUGGAUAGUUUAGGAGGUCUGUUAGACCACCAUUGUUAUUUUACUUAUAAUAGAAGAAAGGAAAGUAAGGCACGUUAGUAAUCAACACAGUUACUUAUUCAAAAGGAUGACAGUUAUCUAAAACAGGAAGUUAAAUGGAUGAGAGGGAGAUGGGAAAGGGCAGGCAGUUUUUAGUAAAAGGAAGGGCCUGCCAGAAUUGUUCUGGUUUUAAUUGUAGUAUUUUGAAUUGUGUUUAUUUCUGUUUUGGAUUAGGAGGGUUUCUUUGCUUGUUGUUU